rnacentral:rRNA from 1 species
GACGUUAGCGACAGAAGAAGCACCGGCUAACUCCGUGCCAGCAGCCGCGGUAAUACGGAGGGUGCGAGCGUUAAUCGGAAUUACUGGGCGUAAAGCGCAUGCAGGUGGUUUGUUAAGUCAGAUGUGAAAGCCCGGGGCUCAACCUCGGAAUAGCAUUUGAAACUGGCAGACUAGAGUACUGUAGAGGGGGGUAGAAUUUCAGGUGUAGCGGUGAAAUGCGUAGAGAUCUGAAGGAAUACCGGUGGCGAAGGCGGCCCCCUGGACAGAUACUGACACUCAGAUGCGAAAGCGUGGGGAGCAAACAGGAUUAGAUACCCUGGUAGUCCACGCCGUAAACGAUGUCUACUUGGAGGUUGUGGCCUUGAGCCGUGGCUUUCGGAGCUAACGCGUUAAGUAGACCGCCUGGGGAGUACGGUCGCAAGAUUAAAACUCAAAUGAAUUGACGGGGGCCCGCACAAGCGGUGGAGCAUGUGGUUUAAUUCGAUGCAACGCGAAGAACCUUACCUACUCUUGACAUCCAGAGAACUUUCCAGAGAUGGAUUGGUGCCUUCGGGAACUCUGAGACAGGUG